UACAGAGGCCUCGAGCGUUAGGCGGAAUCACUGGGCUUAAAGCGUGUGUAGGCGGACUGGUAAGUACCUUGUGAAAUCCCACAGCUUAACUGUGGAACUGCUCGGUAUACUGCUGGUCUUGAGCCACUCAGGGGCUACCGGAACAAAUGGUGGAGCGGUGAAAUGCGUUGAUAUCGAUAGGAACUCCGGUGGCGAAGGCGGCAUACUGGAUCACUUCUGACGCUGAGGCGCGAAAGCCAGGGGAGCAAACGGG
rnacentral:rRNA from 1 species